rnacentral:lncRNA from 14 species
UGGCUCAUGGUGUCCCAGGUGGAGCAUCCGUGUUCUGUGUUCCAUGUCCUGGCUGGAGCAUCCAUGUUCCAUGUUCCAUGUCCUGUCUGCAGUGCCAUGUCCCAUGUGCAGCACCCACAUCCAUGUCCCACAUCUCAUGUUUCAUGUCCCAUAUCCAUGUCCAUGCCUUAUAUCCCACAUCCAUGUCCUAUGUGGAGCACCCACAUCCAUGUUCCACA